GCAGGUAUUUCAUAGAAUACCUAGUUAUUCCAUGAAAUAACUGAUCAUGUCAGUUAAAGUGUGUAAUAUGUUAUUAAUUUGACACUUUAACUAGUUAUUCUAUGAAAUAACUAGGUAUUCUAUAAAUUAACUAAUGAGAGACAGUUAAAGUG